CAGCUCUGCCCUUAAGGAGCCGCGAGACCAGGAGGGAAGGGAGUGGAGGCCACCGAUUUCUGACUCCACAACUGCUACAAGGGAGAGAGUGGGCUCAGAGACAGAAAACACCUUCCCUCACAGCAGCCAGCAGCCUUCUCUGCAACCUGGUCCACAUCUAACACGAGCCUGGAGGGAGUCGUCCCCCCGACGGCAAUGGGCAUCAGCUGAACAGUGGU